GGCCCGCGUGGCGCUGCCGGGCCCGCGCCAUUUUGAUCCCCAGGCGUGGCGGCCGGGGCUGGUGCUGGGCUUGCUGCUCCUGCUGUGCCCUCAGCUGCGGCUGGGGCAGCUCCUGGCACGGUGAGACAGCCUUCGGUCGUCUGGGUUCCUGCGUAAAGUGUUAAAUAACGUGGGACCACCUCGUUCAAGUGGCAGAGGGUUGGUGCACGUGCUUCUGUUACCUUUACCUCUUUCGGAGGGCUCAGCCAUCGGCAUCAUGGCAUUGCCCCACAGCAGAAGACGUAUAAAAGGAUUGUGAAACCUACAUAGCGUCCCAGAGAAAAAAGACCCACAACAUUUAGGUGUCAUGGAGAGGAGGUUUUCAGCGGUGUCGAGCACACUGUACAUUAAGGAUUUCAUGGAAGGACCAUCACAAGUAGAAGAAUACUUGGUACACACAAGUGGAUUUUCCUGA
rnacentral:lncRNA from 1 species